rnacentral:rRNA from 14 species
UUAAAAGUAUGUAUUUUAAAAUUCCCGCUAAUUUAUUAGCUACAAAGCGAGGACAGAAACCUCGCGUAGAGCAAAAGGGCAAAAGUUGGCUUGAUCCCGAUGUUCAGUACGCAUAGGGACUGCGAAAGGACGGCCUAUCGAUCCUUUUGGCUUGAAGAGUUUUCAGCAAGAG